rnacentral:rRNA from 1 species
ACGGGGGGCAGCAGUGAGGAAUAUUGGUCAAUGGACGGAAGUCUGAACCAGCCAAGUCGCGUGCGGGAGGAAGGCCCUACGGGUCGUAAACCGCUUUUGUACGGGGAUAAAGUCACCCACGUGUGGGUGUUUGUAGGUACCGUAAGAAUAAGGAUCGGCUAACUCCGUGCCAGCAGCCGCGGUAAUACGGAAGGUCCAGGCGUUAUCCGGAUUUAUUGGGUUUAAAGGGAGCGUAGGCGGGCCUUUAAGUCAGUGGUAAAAGCGUGUGGCUCAACCAUACCACGCCAUUGAAACUGGAGGCCUUGAGUGCACACAGGGAUGCUGGAAUUCGUCGUGUAGCGGUGAAAUGCUUAGAUAUGACGAAGAACUCCGAUCGCGAAGGCAGGUGUCCGGGGUGUAACUGACGCUGAGGCUCGAAAGUGCGGGUAUCAAACAGGAUUAGAUACCCUGGUA